rnacentral:rRNA from 1 species
UACGUAGGGUGCAAGCGUUGUCCGGAAUUAUUGGGCGUAAAGAGCUCGUAGGCGGUUUGUCACGUCGGAUGUGAAAUCCCGGGGCUUAACCUCGGGUCUGCAUUCGAUACGGGCUGACUAGAGUUCGGUAGGGGAGACUGGAAUUCCUGGUGUAGCGGUGAAAUGCGCAGAUAUCAGGAGGAACACCGGUGGCGAAGGCGGGUCUCUGGGCCGAUACUGACGCUGAGGAGCGAAAGCGUGGGGAGCGAACAGG